UCUCCGUUGGUGAACCAGCGGAGGGAUCAUUACCGAAGUUACCUCCAAAACCCACUGUGAACCUUACCUCUUGCCGCGUUGUCUCGGCGGGAGGCGGUGUGCGUCGCGCGCCCUAGCGGGCCGUGCCGCACCCGUCCCCGCCGGCAGCGCCAAACUCUAAAUGCACAGCGGACUGUACGUUCUGAUUUACAAAAAAAACAAGUUAAAACUUUCAACAACGGAUCUCUUGGUUCUG
rnacentral:misc_RNA from 1 species